rnacentral:tRNA from 1 species
AUUUAUCUUGGUGUAAAGAGCACGUAAAUUUUUGGUAUUUAAGGAACUAGUAGAUAGCUAAAUG